rnacentral:rRNA from 1 species
AAUCUUCCGCAAUGGACGAAAGUCUGACGGAGCGACGCCGCGUGGUGGAUGAAGUCCUUAGGGACGUAAACACCUUUUAUGAGGGAGGAAGUUUAUUGACGUUACCUCAUGAAUAAGGGGCUCCCAAUUCUGUGCCAGCAGGAGCGGUAAUACAGAAGCCCCAAGCAUUACCCGGAUUCACUGGGCGUAAAGGGUGCGUGGGCGGUUAUAUUAGUCGGGUGUUAAAUCCUGGGGCUCAACCUCAGGCUCGCAUUCGAAACGGUAUAACUAGAAGGAGUGAGAGGUGUGUGGAACUCACGGUGUAGGAGUGAAAUCCGUUGAUAUCGUGGGGAACACCAAAUGCGAAGGCAGCACACUGGCACUUUCUUGACGCUGAGGCACGAAAGCGUGGGUAGCGAACGGG